rnacentral:rRNA from 1 species
AGAGUUUGAUCAUGGCUCAGAUUGAACGCUGGCGGAAUGCUUUACACAUGCAAGUCGAACGGCAGCACGGGGGCAACCCUGGUGGCGAGUGGCGAACGGGUGAGUAAUACAUCGGAACGUGCCCAGUCUGGGGGAUAACGUAGCGAAAGCUACGCUAAUACCGCAUACGAUCUCUGGAUGAAAGCGGGGGACCGCAAGGCCUCGCGCGAUUGGAGCGGCCGAUGGCAGAUUAGGUAGUUGGUGGGGUAAAGGCUCACCAAGGCGACGAUCCGUAGCGGGUCUGAGAGGAUGAUCCGCCACACUGGGACUGAGACACGGCCCAGACUCCUACGGGAGGCAGCAGUGGGGAAUUUUGGACAAUGGGCGCAAGCCUGAUCCAGCCAUGCCGCGUGAGUGAAGAAGGCCUUCGGGUUGUAAAGCUCUUUCGGUGGGAAGAAAUUGCUUCGGUUAAUACCUGGAGUAGAUGACGGUACCCGCAUAAGAAGCACCGGCUAACUACGUG